UACGUAGGGUGCAAGCGUUGUCCGGAAUUAUUGGGCGUAAAGAGCUCGUAGGCGGUUUGUCGCGUCGAAUGUGAAAACCCGGGGCUCAACUCCGGGCCUGCAUUCGAUACGGGCAGACUAGAGUUCGGUAGGGGAGACUGGAAUUCCUGGUGUAGCGGUGAAAUGCGCAGAUAUCAGGAGGAACACCGGUGGCGAAGGCGGGUCUCUGGGCCGUAACUGACGCUGAGGAGCGAAAGCAUGGGGAGCGAACAGG
rnacentral:rRNA from 1 species